AUGGAGGUGGAGGUGCCGAUGGAAUAUGGCGUGACGACGACGACGGUGGCGGAGGAGCAGGGGUGGGAGACGCCGAGGAGGGAGGACUGCCGCAUCCCGGCCUUGCCGACGUGCCCGCCGCCGCCGCCAAGGAAGAAGCCCGCGGCGGAGCUCGGCAGGGCGGCGCCGCGCCGGGGGCCGCCCAAGGGUGGCUACUUCCAGCCGCCGGACAUCGAGUCCCUCUUCCUGCUCGCGCCGCCGCGCAGGCACGCCGCCUCCACCUGCGCGUAA
rnacentral:rRNA from 1 species